CGGGAGGCAGCAGUAGGGAAUCUUCCGCAAUGGACGAAAGUCUGACGGAGCGACGCCGCGUGAGCGAAGAAGGUCUUCGGAUCGUAAAGCUCUGUUGUUAGGGAAGAAGAAGUGCCGUUCGAACAGGGCGGCACGGUGACGGUACCUAACGAGAAAGCCCGGCUAACUACGUGCCAGCAGC
rnacentral:rRNA from 1 species